UCCGGGAUGGUGUAAUGGUAGCACAGGAGAUUCUGGAUCUUCUAGUCUGGGUUCGAGCCCUAGUCCCGGAGCCA
rnacentral:tRNA from 6 species